ACAGAGGUCUCGAGCGUUAGGCGGAAUCACUGGGCUUAAAGCGUGUGUAGGCGGGUCGUUAAGUACCUUGUGAAAUCCCAUGGCUCAACCAUGGAACUGCUUGGUAUACUGGCGAUCUUGUGCAACCUAGGGGCGAGCGGAACAGAUGGUGGAGCGGUGAAAUGCGUAGAUAUCAUCUGGAACGCCAAUGGUGAAAACAGCUCGCUGGGGGUUUGCAGACGCUGAGACACGAAAGCCAGGGGAGCGAACGGGA
rnacentral:rRNA from 1 species